rnacentral:rRNA from 2 species
GGAGGAAAAGAACUAACAAGGAUUCCCCUAGUAACUGCGAGUGAAGCGGGAAAAGCUCAAAUUUAAAAUCUGGCGGUCUCCGGCCGUCCGAGUUGUAAUCUAGAGAAGUGAUGCCCGCGCUGGACCGUGUACAAGUCUCCUGGGAUGGAGCGUCAUAGAGGGUGAGAAUCCCGUCUCUGACACGGACUACCAGGGCUUUGUGGUACGCUCUCAAAGAGUCGAGUUGUUUGGGAAUGCAGCUCAAAAUGGGUGGUAAAUUCCAUCUAAAGCUAAAUAUUGGCGAGAGACCGAUAGCGAACAAGUACCGUGAGGGAAAGAUGAAAAGAACUUUGGAAAGAGAGUUAAACAGUACGUGAAAUUGCUGAAAGGGAAACGCUUGAAGUCAGUCGCGUUGGCCGGGGAUCAGCCUCGCUUUUGCGUGGUGUACUUCCUAGUUGACGGGUCAACAUCAAUUUUGACCGCUGGAAAAAGACUUGAGGAAUGUGGCAGCUCCGGCUGUGUUAUAGCUUCUUGUCACAUACAGCGGUUGGGAUUGAGGCACUCAGCACGCCGCAAGGCCGGGUUUCGACCACGUUCGUGCUUAGGAUGUUGGCAUAAUGGCUUUA